rnacentral:rRNA from 1 species
UACAGGGGGUGCUAGCGUUGUUCGGAAUUACUGGGCGUAAAGGGCGCGUAGGCGGCGAUCCGAGUCAGAUGUGAAAGUCCUGGGCUUAACCUGGGGACUGCAUUUGAUACUGCGGUGCUUGAGGACUGGAGAGGAGACUGGAAUUCAUGGUGUAGCAGUGAAAUGCGUAGAGAUCAUGAGGAAGACCAGUGGCGAAGGCGGGUCUCUGGACAGUUCCUGACACUGAGACACGAAGGCCAGGGGAGCGAACGGG